AUGAGUCGCUUCUCCCGCGCCACACUUGUGAGGAAGAAAGAAAACAGAGAGCGAGAGAAGCGACUCAUUCUUCUCACUCUACCUUCUUUACAUCUCCGUCACCGGAGAAUUUUUCCCGGUCUCGGCUAAUCUUUCCAGUGGUCCUUAAAGUUACAUUAUUAACCAGGUGAUUUUGUUAAUUUAGAAUAUUAUUAGUGAUAAAAUACUGCACUCAGAUUUCAUGCACUGAUUCUCCAGUAUUCUAUCUGUUAAUUUGAUUAUUUUAUUGUAGUGCUAAUCGUUUUAAUUGAUGAGCUCACGUCAUGGAUUGAUCCAUUUGUUUAUACUUUUGUAGUUUUGAAAAAUCGUUUAAAAUUUUGACUCUCGUUUGCUUUUUCUAAGACACUGUUUGGUUGAUGAGAAAAUCUGCUGAGAUUUUCAUCGUCUGAGAUCUGUGUAAUGCUGUAUUUUGUUUUGAAUUGUUUUGAAAUUGAAAAUUAGGAUGGAAGUUGGCACGGAAGCGAGAGGCGGUGAUGAAGGUGUCAGGAGGAGAGGUUGCUCGUGCACAACGAACGAUUUUCUCCCCGAGGAGUCGUUCCAAAGCAUGGGCAACUACUUCCAGGCACUUCGUGAGACUCCAAUGCGGUUCAAGGACAGGCUCCUCGCCAGAUCCAUGGACUCUACCGAGAUCAAUGAGGUCAAGGCGCGGAGCGAGCAUGAGAUGAAGAAGAACCUGAACUGGUGGGACCUCAUCUGGUUCUGUAUCGGCUCUGUCAUCGGCUCUGGUGUCUUUGUCCUCACCGGACUUGAGGCAAAAAAAGAUGCUGGACCUGCCGUUGUCUUGUCUUACGUAGCUUCAGGGGUCUCCGCUAUGCUCUCCGUCUUCUGUUACACCGAGUUCGCUGUAGAAAUUCCUGUUGCAGGUGGUUCAUUUGCUUACUUGAGGGUAGAGCUAGGUGACUUCAUGGCCUUCAUUGGAGCUGGCAACAUCCUCCUUGAGUACGUCAUUGGUAGUGCUGCUGUGUCUCGGUCAUGGACGUCUUAUUUCGCCACUCUCUGCAAUCACAAACCUGAUGAAUUCCGGAUCAUAGCCCAUAGCCUGCCUGAUGACUAUGGCCACCUUGACCCCAUUGCUGUUGUUGUUGUUUCCAUAACUUGUGUCCUUGCUGUCCUUAGCACCAAGGGAUCAUCGCGCUUCAAUUACAUUGCUUCCAUUUUCCACAUUGUGGUGAUUCUCUUUAUCAUUAUUGCCGGCCUUAUCAAUGCAGACGGCAAAAAUUACAUCGACUUUGCACCCUAUGGUCCUCGGGGUAUUUUUAAAGCUUCGGCUGUACUUUUCUUUGCUUGCAUUGGAUUCGAUGCAGUUUCCACAAUGGCUGAAGAGACCAAAAAUCCUGCAAAAGAUAUCCCUAUUGGUCUUGUGGGCUCAAUGACAAUAAUUACUCUGCUCUAUUGUUUGCUAGCCGUAACAUUGUGUCUUAUGGUUCCAUAUAAGAAUAUUGAUCCAGAUGCCCCAUUUUCUGCAGCAUUUCAGUUUGUGGGUUGGGAUUGGGCUAAAUAUAUUGUGGCUGCAGGGGCUCUGAAGGGCAUGACUACAGUUUUGCUGGCUUCAGCAGUAGGUCAAGCCCGUUAUCUCACACACAUUGCUCGAACUCACAUGAUGCCACCUUGGCUAGCUCAGGUCAAUGCAAAGACUGGGACUCCGGUAAAUGCAACCAUUGUCAUGCUUGCUGCUACUGCUAUAAUUGCCUUUUCUACAAAUCUUUCGAUUCUGUCCAAUCUUCUUUCCAUCUCUACUUUGUUUAUCUUCAUGCUUGUGGCGCUCGCACUUCUUGUACGCCGCUACUAUGUCAGUGGUAUGACAACAUCUGCAGAUCGUACAAAGCUCAUUUUGCGCAUUUUGGUGAUUCUUGGUUCCUCAAUUGCCACUGCUGCUAUUUAGGAUGCGGGUGUAGGUGGUUGGAUUGGCUAUGUGAUUACCCUCCCAAUAUGAUUCUUAGCUACUUUGGCACUCAAUGUUUUUUGUUCCAUAAGCAAGGCCUCCAAAAUUGUGGGGUGUUCCAUUAGUGCUGUGGUCAACCAUCUGCUUCAAUUCUUGUCAACAUUUUUCUUCUGGGAUCGAUUGAUGGGGCAUCAUUUGUAAGGUUUGGUGUUUGGACUGUUGUUUUGUUGAUCUACUACUUCCUGUUUGGCUUACAUGCCUCCUAUGACACGGCAAGGAGUCAAGGGAGAAUAGAGCUGAGGACGGCUGGAAAGGAAUGGAAGAAGGUGCAUAGUUUGGCUGAGGUGUACAGCAAUAUUUCUAUAAAUAGUAGUUCCUUACUGAUAUUAUGACUCAUUAUGUUUAGACUCUAUCGGGAGUUUCUCUUGUCAAUUACUAAUGUUUGUGUAUUUUCUUUUUAUAACUAAAAUAAUUAUUUAAGUACGUUUGUCAACUAUAAAUUGAAUCUAGGGUUCGCUGGAUUGUGACCUCCAGGUGCCCAUAGUGAAUUUUCC
rnacentral:misc_RNA from 1 species